rnacentral:tRNA from 1 species
GCCUGGGUGGCUCAGUCGGUUAAGCGUCCGACUUCAGCUCAGGUCAGGAUCUCAACAGUCCGUGGGUUCAGGCCCCGCAUCAGGCG